GGAGAGGAGAGUGGAAUUCCUAGUGUAGCAGUGAAAUGCGUAGAUAUUAGGAGGAACACCAGUUGCGAAGGCGGCUCUCUGGCCUGUAACUGACCCUGAGCCACGAAAGCGUUGGGAGACAACAGGACUAGCUACCCUGGUAGUCCACGCUGUAAACGAUGAGUACUAGGUGUCGGGGGUUAUCACCUAAGGUGCCGCCGAUACAGCAUUAAGUAUUCCGCCUGGGUAGUACGCCCGCAAGAAUGACACUAUAAGGAAUUGACGGGGACCCGCACAGUUAGCGGAGCAUGUGGGUUAUUUCGUAUCACAGGGAGGAACCUUACCCAGGCGAGCAAGCCAAAUGACAUACUUUUACUCGGAACCUCCACUUCGGGUACAGUGGUAACCGGGCGGGCGUGGU
rnacentral:rRNA from 1 species